rnacentral:lncRNA from 1 species
UCAUUACACCACUUUAUGUUGCUAACUCUAGCAAUCAUUGUUCUUUACCAUUCAUUACUCUCGCUAACUCUAGCAAUUAUAUUCUUUACAUUCUUUACUUUUGGCUACCUCUAGCACUUCAUGUUUUUUACUCCCCACAUUACUUUAACUUUAAACAUUGUCAUUUUCAUCAUUCUUUACAAUACAUUGGUUCUUUACCUCACACUAUCUCUAGUGUCACUUCACUUUAACUUUAUCGAAUGCCACUCGAU